GACGAACGCUGGCGGCGUGCUUAACACAUGCAAGUCGAACGGAAAGGCCCUGCUUUUGUGGGGUGCUCGAGUGGCGAACGGGUGAGUAACACGUGAGUAACCUGCCCUUGACUUUGGGAUAACUUCAGGAAACUGGGGCUAAUACCGGAUAGGAGCUCCCGCUGCAUGGUGGGGGUUGGAAAGUUUCGGCGGUUGGGGAUGGACUCGCGGCUUAUCAGCUUGUUGGUGGGGUAGUGGCUUACCAAGGCUGUGACGGGUAGCCGGCCUGAGAGGGUGACCGGCCACAUUGGGACUGAGAUACGGCCCAGACUCCUACGGGAGGCAGCAGUGGGGAAUAUUGCUCAAUGGGCGGAAGCCUGAUGCAGCAACGCCGCGUGCGGGAUGACGGCCUUCGGGUUGUAAACCGCUUUCGCCUGUGACGAAGCGUGAGUGACGGUAAUGGGUAAAGAAGCACCGGCUAACUACGUG
rnacentral:rRNA from 1 species